GGAAGCCGGUGCGAACCCGGCACGGUCGCGCCACUGUGAGCGGUUCGUCAGCGAAGGAGCGAGGCGCCGCAAGUCAGAC
rnacentral:ncRNA from 2 species